rnacentral:tRNA from 1 species
GGGGAUUUGGCUCAGUGGUAGAGCACUUGCCUAGGAAGCACAAGGUCCAGGGUUCGAUCCCCAGCCCCG